UUGAAUAGUUUGUAGCGCUGUGCUGGCCUCUCGGGGCAUGUGCACGCGUUGCAAUUAUUAUCAUCCCAUUGUGCACUUGUGUAGGCUUUGUUGGCUCCUAGUAGUUGAGUGUAAACGCUCAAGGAAAAGGUCAGCGAAGACUAUGAUUUAUAAACUUUUGUAUGUCUCUGAAUGUUACUUUGUUGACUGAAAAAGUCGAUGAAACUAUA
rnacentral:misc_RNA from 1 species